AAUCUAACAUGUGUGCAAGUCGUAGGGUCUGCUUCUAACCAAAGCUAAACCCGAAGGCGAAAUGAAAGUAAAGGUCCGCUCUUAAAAAAAGCGACCGAGGCGAGAUCCUAAAAACCGGAUACGAUAGGCGCGUUCGUCUCUCUUUUUCUCUCUCUUUNNCCNGAGAGANAANNGAGCGAACGAUCCGGAGGCGCAUCGCCGGCCCGUNUCGACCGCAUNUNUUNUCGUUGCCAUUCAGCUUACGAAGAGGCACGCGCUUUUUCUUUUUUUUCUUUCUUCUGCCGUGUGUUUUAAACCGCGCGGUUAGUAAGAGUAGAAAGGGGGAGAAGUUAGCGUGGCGAUUCUGCAGAGUGGUUCGACGGUUGNGAGUCUGUGUCGGUAAGGCGGAGCAAGAGCACACACGUUGGGACCCGAAAGAUGGUGAACUAUGCUCGGGCAGGACGAAGCCAGAGGAAACUCUGGUGGAAGUCCGCAGCGAUUCUGACGUGCANAUCGAUCGUCGGACCUGAGUAUAGGGGCGACAGACUAAUCGAACCGU
rnacentral:rRNA from 1 species